GUGCUCGCUUCAGCAGCACAUAUACCGAAAUGAUGCAGAGAAGAUUAGCAUAGACCCUGCACAAGGAUGACAUGCAAAUUCAUGAAGCAUUCCAUUUUGUU
rnacentral:snRNA from 1 species